UACGUAGGGGGCAAGCGUUGUUCGGAUUUACUGGGCGUACAGGGAGCGUAGGCGGUUGGAUAAGCCCUCGUGAAAUCUCCAGGCUUAACCUGGAAAGUGCAGAGGGGACUGUUCAGCUAGAGGAUGGGAGAGGAGCGCGGAAUUCCCGGUGUAGCGGUGAAAUGCGCAGAUAUCGGGAGGAACACCCGUAGCGAAGGCGGCACUCUGGGCCGGAACUGACGCUGAGGAGCGAAAGCGUGGGGAGCAAACAGG
rnacentral:rRNA from 1 species